rnacentral:lncRNA from 1 species
CUAUAAACUCAAAUUAAACUGUUCUAAUGAUCUACUAAUAAAUUUAAAGUCAAAACCCAUCUUUAUUGAUGAAGAAUAAUCCAUGUUUACAAACAAUAUCAGUAUUACGGGAAUUUCCCUUGUGUGAUUCAUGGUUUCCGAUUGGUAAACAAUAUGUGACAAGCUCUGCCAUUGGUCAGUCAAAAGUAUAAAUACAAAAACAAC